CAGAUGGAUUGUUACUGUUUUGACAAUAUGUAUUGUGAUGUCUGUUAUUAUCAUCAUGGUUCUGGGUGGACUGCUAUGCAAGAACCAACAGCAACGUUCAAGACAAGGUCAAGGUCACUCAAGACACACAAAUAAGGUUGAAGACACAGAUGGCUUGAACUAUGCAGCUUUGAGAUUUGCUCAGAAACCUUCUACCUCUGAAAUAUCCACAGUUAUGAACAAUUCAGAUGUUUAUGCUCAGGUCAAAAUACAAUAGCUAAUUGAAAUGAGUACAUUUUUAUUUUCUGUUUAAUGCUAUAUUAGUCUCUCUAUUUACAUGCAACAUGACAGCCAUGAAUUGGCAAGAAAACUGCAUUCCCAUUUUGGUGAUUCU